AGGAAGUGGAGGAGUUCAGAGAGUUGGGCUUCGUGCUCGUGCUAUGUGCAGUCUGUGACACCUUGCAAGGAAUGAAUUAAAGCAUUCUGAAUUUAUUUGGACCGAAUACUGUAUGAAGUUAAAAGAAACAGAGGAGAAGAUUAUAAAGGAUGAAAAACACCUUGAGGAGUUAGUGAAGCAAAAAGCAGAAAUCCAGGAAGAUGCAAAAUGUUGGAACAGCAAAACACCUUGGAUGAAAGAAGCUGAGGAAAAGCAGUACAUUUGACCUGAUAUUAACUCAAUUCCCAUGAAGACGGAAUAUAUCUUACUAUUAGAUCAGGAAAUCUCAGGUCCUCCUGCUAUGUACAGUUGCUAAAUGCAUUAAAUCGUA
rnacentral:lncRNA from 1 species